rnacentral:rRNA from 1 species
GGGGAAUUUUGGACAAUGGGCGAAAGCCUGAUCCAGCCAUGCCGCGUGAGUGAAGAAGGCCUUCGGGUUGUAAAGCUCUUUUAGUCGGAAAGAAAGAGUUGCAAUGAAUAAUUGUGAUUUAUGACGGUACCGACAGAAAAAGCACCGGCUAACUACGUGCCAGCAGCCGCGGUAAUACGUAGGGUGCGAGCGUUAAUCGGAAUUACUGGGCGUAAAGGGUGCGCAGGCGGUCUUGCAAGUCAGAUGUGAAAGCCCCGGGCUUAACCUGGGAAUUGCGUUUGAAACUACAAGGCUAGAGUGCAGCAGAGGGGAGUGGAAUUCCAUGUGUAGCAGUGAAGUGCGUAGAGAUGUGGAAGAACACCGAUGGCGAAGGCAGCUUCCUGGGUUGACACUGACGCUCAUGCACGAAAGCGUGGGGAGCAAACA